CUAAAAUGUUGGUUAAAAGAUCAACAUUGUUAGUUAUAAAGAGAUCCAGACAAGCAUCCUUUCUAGUUGGUGCUUGUACCAGUUGUGACAUAAAAGGUGUCAUUUAACACAUUCAAAAACCUGAUUCCCAUUGCUGAAGUACUAGUCCCCCUGUCCCAAUUUAUGUCUGGGUAAUUAAAAUCUCCAAUAAUUAACGUGUUACCCCGAUUUGCAGCUUUUCCAGUUUGCUCUAACAGCUGUUCUUCUUCAUUAAUUUACAUUAGGUGGUUUAUAACAUAUCCCAACCAAUAAUUGAUUUCCCUUUGUUUGCCCCAUGCAGAUAUCUACCCAUAAAGCUUCCACAUUUUCCUCGUCACACUCCACAUGCCUAUGAUUUUCACAUACACAGUCACAGCCAGACAUUCACACACACAGUCACAGGUAGACAGUUACACACACAGUCAAAGGCAGACAGUCAAACACACUGUCACAGGCAGAUAGUUGCACACACAGACACAGGCAGUCACAGAUACACACACAUAGUACACACUCCCUCACUUACUGGAGGAGGAGUGGAGUCACUGAAGUCCCUGGUGAGUAGUUG